rnacentral:rRNA from 1 species
GAUGAACGCUGGCGGCGUGCCUAAUACAUGCAAGCCGAGCGAACGGACGAGAAGCUUGCUUCUCUGAUGUUAGCGGCGGACGGGUGAGUAACACGUGGAUAACCUACCUAUAAGACUGGGAUAACUUCAGGAAACCGUGGCUAAUACCGGAUAAUAUUUUGAACCGCAUGGUUCAAAAGUGAAAGACGGUCUUGCUUUCACUUAUAGAUGAAUCCGCGCUGCAUUAGCUAGUUGGUAAGGUAACGGCUUACCAAGGCAACGAGGCAUAGCCGACCUGAAAGGGUGAGCGGACACACUGGAACGGAGACACGGUCCAGACUCCUGCGGGAGGCAGCAGUAGGGAAUCUUACGCAAUGGGCGAGAGCCUGACGGAGCAACGCCGAGUGAGUGAUGAAGGUCUUCGGAUCGUUAAACGCUGUUAUUCGGGAAGUACAUAUGUGUAAGUAACUGUGCACAUCUUGACGGUACCUAAUCAGAAAGCCACGGCUAACUACGUG